rnacentral:rRNA from 1 species
AUCGUAUCUGCAAGUCGAACGAACUCUGGUAUUGAUUGGUGCUUGCAUCAUGAUUUACAUUUGAGUGAGUGGCGAACUGGUGAGUAACACGUGGGAAACCUGCCCAGAAGCGGGGGAUAACACCUGGAAACAGAUGCUAAUACCGCAUAACAACUUGGACCGCAUGGUCCGAGCUUGAAAGAUGGCUUCGGCUAUCACUUUUGGAUGGUCCCGCGGCGUAUUAGCUAGAUGGUGGGGUAACGGCUCACCAUGGCAAUGAUACGUAGCCGACCUGAGAGGGUAAUCGGCCACAUUGGGACUGAGACACGGCCCAAACUCCUACGGGAGGCAGCAGUAGGGAAUCUUCCACAAUGGACGAAAGUCUGAUGGAGCAACGCCGCGUGAGUGAAGAAGGGUUUCGGCUCGUAAAACUCUGUUGUUAAAGAAGAACAUAUCUGAGAGUAACUGUUCAGGUAUUGACGGUAUUUAACCAGAAAGCCACGGCUAACUACGUGCCAGCAGCCGCGGUAAUACGUAGGUGGCAAGCGUUGUCCGGAUUUAUUGGGCGUAAAGCGAGCGCAGGCGGUUUUUUAAGUCUGAUGUGAAAGCCUUCGGCUCAACCGAAGAAGUGCAUCGGAAACUGGGAAACUUGAGUGCAGAAGAGGACAGUGGAACUCCAUGUGUAGCGGUGAAAUGCGUAGAUAUAUGGAAGAACACCAGUGGCGAAGGCGGCUGUCUGGUCUGUAACUGACGCUGAGGCUCGAAAGUAUGGGUAGCAAACAGGAUUAGAUACCCUGGUAGUCCAUACCGUAAACGAUGAAUGCUAAGUGUUGGAGGGUUUCCGCCCUUCAGUGCUGCAGCUAACGCAUUAAGCAUUCCGCCUGGGGAGUACGGCCGCAAGGCUGAAACUCAAAGGAAUUUGACGGGGGCCCGCACAAGCGGUGGAGCAUGUGGUUUAAUUCGAAGCUACGCGAAGAACCUUACAAGG